rnacentral:rRNA from 1 species
CCCAGAGCCUGAAUCAGUGUGUGUGUUAGUGGAAGCGUCUGGAAAGGCGUGCGAUACAGGGUGACAGCCCCGUACACAAAAAUGCACAUGCUGUGAGCUCGAUGAGUAGGGCGGGACACGUGGUAUCCUGUCUGAAUAUGGGGGGACCAUCCUCCAAGGCUAAAUACUCCUGACUGACCGAUAGUGAACCAGUACCGUGAGGGAAAGGCGAAAAGAACCCCGGCGAGGGGAGUGAAAAAGAACCUGAAACCGUGUACGUACAAGCAGUGGGAGCACGCUUAGGCGUGUGACUGCGUACCUUUUGUAUAAUGGGUCAGCGACUUAUAUUCUGUAGCAAGGUUAACCGAAUAGGGGAGCCGAAGGGAAACCGAGUCUUAACUGGGCGUUAAGUUGCAGGGUAUAGACCCGAAACCCGGUGAUCUAGCCAUGGGCAGGUUGAAGGUUGGGUAACACUAACUGGAGGACCGAACCGACUAAUGUUGAAAAAUUAGCGGAUGACUUGUGGCUGGGGGUGAAAGGCCAAUCAAACCGGGAGAUAGCUGGUUCUCCCCGAAAGCUAUUUAGGUAGCGCCUCGUGAAUUCAUCUCCGGGGGUAGAGCACUGUUUCGGCAAGGGGGUCAUCCCGACUUACCAACCCGAUGCAAACUGCGAAUACCGGAGAAUGUUAUCACGGGAGACACACGGCGGG